AUUGAACGCUGGCGGCAGGCCUAACACAUGCAAGUCGAGCGAGGGGCGCGGGUGUGAGAAAUGUCGGGGAAACCCCCUGGUGGAGGGGUAUAACUAGUGGAAAGGAUCGCUUAUCCCGUAAUCCCACAAAUGCACCCAUAUGGGAUGUGCUAGUGGGGGGGGUAACGUCGCCCCUAGGCGACGAUCCCUAGCUGGUCUGAGAGGGUGACCAGCCACACUGGAACUGAGACACGGUCCAGACUCCUACGGGAGGCAGCAGUGGGGAAUAUUGCACAAUGGGCGCAAGCCUGAUGCAGCCAUGCCGCGUGUGUGAAGAAGGCCUUCGGGUUGUAAAGCACUUUCAGCGGGGAGGCGUUACCCUCAGAAGAAGCACCGGCUAACUCCGUGCCAGCAGCCGCGGUAAUAC
rnacentral:rRNA from 1 species